rnacentral:misc_RNA from 1 species
AAGUCGUAACAAGGUUUCCGUAGGUGAACCUGCGGAAGGAUCAUUAUUGAAUGAACUUGGAGUUGGUUGUCGCUGGCUGUCAUUCGCAGCAUGUGCACGCCUUCUCCUUUCAUCCACACACCCCUGUGCACUUGUGAGACUGGGGACUGUAAAAAGUCUUCAGUCUGCUAAACUCAUAUACAAACCCAAUUUAAUUGAACUGAAUGUAAAUUGAUGUAACGCAUCAUUGAACUAAGUUUCAACAACGGAUCUCUUGGCUCUC